rnacentral:rRNA from 1 species
GACGAACGCUGGCGGCGUGCCUAAUACAUGCAAGUCGAGCGAAAGGACGAGAAGCUUGCGUGUCUGAUGUUAGCGGAGGGCGGGUGAGUCACACGUGUAUCACCUACCUAUAAGACGGGGAUAACUUGGGGAAACGGGAUCUUAUACCGGAGAAUAUUUUGAACCGCGUGGGGCAAAGGUGAGAGACGGUCGUGGUGUAAGUAAUAGCUGGAUCCGCGCUGGAUUAGCUAGUUGGUAAGGUAAAGGCUUACCAAGGCAACGAUGCAUAGGCGAACUGAGAGGGGGGUCGCCCACACGGGAGCUGAGACAGCGUCCAGACGCCUACGGGAGGCACCAGUAGGGAAUCGUCCGCAAUGGUCGAGAGCAUUACGGAGCAACGCCGCGUCAGUUGUGAAGGUCUCCCGAUCGGAAAACGCUGUUACUAGUGAAGAACAUAUGUGUCAUUAACCGUGCACAUCUUGACGGUACCGAAUCAGAAAGCCCCGGCUAACUACGUG